rnacentral:rRNA from 1 species
GGCCCUACGGGGCGCAGCAGGCGCGAAAACUUUACAAUGCGGGCAACCGUGAUAAGGGAACCUCGAGUGCCCGUAAAUGCAGGCUGUUCAGGUGCCUAAAACACACCUGAAGAAAGGGCCGGGCAAGACCGGUGCCAGCCGCCGCGGUAAUACCGGCGGCUCGAGUGGUGGCCGCUUUUAUUGGGCUUAAAGCGUUCGUAGCUGGGUUGUUAAGUCUCUUGGGAAAUCUGGCGGCUUAACCGUCAGGCGUCUAAGGGAUACUGGCAAUCUUGGAACCGGGAGAGGUGAGGGGUACUUCGGGGGUAGGAGUGAAAUCCUGUAAUCCUCGAGGGACCACCUGUGGCGAAGGCGCCUCACCAGAACGGCUUCGACAGUGAGGGACGAAAGCUGGGGGAGCAAACCGGAUUAGAUACCCGGGUAGUCCCAGCCGUAAACUAUGCGCGUUAGGUGUAUCGGUGACCACGAGUUACCGAGGUGCCGAAGGGAAACCGUGAAACGUGCCGCCUGGGAAGUACGGUCGCAAGGCUGAAACUUAAAGGAAUUGGCGGGGGAGCACCACAACGGGUGGAGCUUGCGGUUUAAUUGGAUUCAACGCCGGAAAUCUUACCGG